rnacentral:rRNA from 1 species
AGUUUGAUCCUGGCUCAGGAUGAACGCUAGCUACAGGCUUAACACAUGCAAGUCGAGGGGCAGCAUGGUCUUAGCUUGCUAAGGCCGAUGGCGACCGGCGCACGGGUGAGUAACGCGUAUCCAACCUGCCUUACACUCUUGGACAGCCUUCUGAAAGGGAGAUUAAUACAAGAUGUUAUCAUGAGUAAGCAUUUUCGCAUGAUUAAAGGUUUACCGGUGUAAGAUGGGGAUGCGUUCCAUUAGAUAGUAGGCGGGGUAACGGCCCACCUAGUCUUCGAUGGAUAGGGGUUCUGAGAGGAAGGUCCCCCACAUUGGAACUGAGACACGGUCCAAACUCCUACGGGAGGCAGCAGUGAGGAAUAUUGGUCAAUGGACGAGAGUCUGAACCAGCCAAGUAGCGUGAAGGAUGAAGGUUCUAUGGAUUGUAAACUUCUUUUAUACGGGAAUAAACGGAUCCACGUGUGGAUUUCUGCAUGUACCGUAUGAAUAAGGAUCGGCUAACUCCGUGCCAGCAGCCGCGGUAAUACGGAGGAUCCGAGCGUUAUCCGGAUUUAUUGGGUUUAAAGGGAGCGUAGAUGGGUUGUUAAGUCAGUUGUGAAAGUUUGCGGCUCAACCGUAAAAUUGCAAUUGAUACUGGCAGUCUUGAGUACAGUUGAGGUAGGCGGAAUUCGUGGUGUAGCGGUGAAAUGCUUAGAUAUCACGAAGAACUCCGAUUGCGAAGGCAGCUUACUAACCUGUAACUGACAUUGAUGCUCGAAAGUGUGGGUAUCAAACAGGAUUAGAUACCCUGGUAGUCCACACGGUAAACGAUGAAUACUCGCUGUAGGCGAUAUACGGUCUGCGGCCAAGCGAAAGCAUUAAGUAUUCCACCUGGGGAGUACGCCGGCAACGGUGAAACUCAAAGGAAUUGACGGGGGCCCGCACAAGCGGAGGAACAUGUGGUUUAAUUCGAUGAUACGCGAGGAACCUUACCCGGGCUUAAAUUGCAACCGAAUAUGGCGGAAACGCCAUAGCUAGCAAUAGCGGUUGUGAAGGUGCUGCAUGGUUGUCGUCAGCUCGUGCCGUGAGGUGUCGGCUUAAGUGCCAUAACGAGCGCAACCCUUGCCGAUAGUUACUAACAGGUUAUGCUGAGGACUCUGUCGGGACUGCCAUCGUAAGAUGUGAGGAAGGUGGA